GCCUCAAACAACUUCUCUAUGAUGUGGAUGACAUACUGGAUGCGUUUGCCACUGAAGUUCUACGGCUGAAAUUGAAAUAUGAAAAUCAGACCCACCUUCGCCAAACCCAACAGGGAAUUGGAAGGUUUGGAUCAAAAGUAAGGGAAGAUGAGAGUUUAAAAAGUAUAGCCCAAGAAGGUAUUGUUCUAGGUUUGAAUCCUAGCAUAGCAUCUGGGUCCUCAAGGCCCAAGGUAUUAAGUCAGAGGCCACGGACGAGUUCUUUGGUGAAUAGUUCUAAAGUUUUUGGCAGAGAGGAAGAUACAUGGAAGAUUGUUAAAUGGCUGCUAUUAUACAAAACUCUAAGUCAUCCGGGUAACACUGGUAGUAAUUUCUUCGGUGCUUUCCAUAAUAGGCAUGGGUGGAAUUGGAAAGACGGACCUUGCUCAACUUGUUUAUAAUGAUGACAUGAGGAAUGAGAACUAUGGAAGAUGGGAUGCUUUAAGCAGCGCCUCCUCAUUUCCUCAUUUGGUGAAUGAGGAAGCAAGAUAUUGGUUACAAUAGGGAACAAAGGGGUGUAUCAAUUGUGCGCACUGAUCCAAACAAUCAUGAUCAUGAUUUCAUCAUCUGAUGAUGCGAAUGAAAGUUGGAAGUAUUUGGUGAACAAGUUUUGAAGAAAUGUUAGGGUUUAUCUUUGGCUAUAAAGACACUGGCUGGUGUCUUGGGAGAUAAAGGGGAGAAUUGUGAGUGGGAAAAAUAUUUUGGAGAGUGAAAUAUGGGAUUUAAGGGACAGUACUAAUAUCAUUCCAUCACUUGUGUUGAGCGAUCAUCAUCUUCCUCUGCAUCUGAUGAGGCGCUUCACAUAUUGUGCUUUAUUUCCCAAGGACUACGAAUUCGACAAGAGUUCGUAGGAUUAUGGAUGGCAGAAGGUAUUGUGCAAUCGAAAGGAAAGAAACGGCUUAAAGAUAUAGGAGUAGGGUAUUUCGACGAUCUCUCUAUGAAGUCUUUCUUUGACACAUCUAAGACUCGUCCUUAUGAAAAAAUAUACAAGUCGACUUGGAAAUGCUAUGAUAUGUGGUGGUGUAUGAAUGGGGUUACCUAUACUGACGACUACUUUUCUGAGAAUGAUGAUAGAUAUUCAUAUCAUGACUUAUUACAAUGUUUUGGCAUUGAGUCCUUUUCUGAAUCAACUAAAAUUUCUGGAUCAUCAAAGUUUGUGGAAUAUUACAAGAUGAAAAAAUUGUUUGACUCUCAACAUCAAUCACUUCAUGAUUGCAACUCAAACGUCGACGAUGGUGGUGAAGUAGAAUUCCAUUGGCUUAAUGAGCUAUAUGUCUUUAGAUGUCCCAACAUGAAGAAAUUACCACACACCCUUCCUUCCUUGGUGAAACUUGCAAUAGAAGCUUGUGAAGAACCCUCUUUCCUUCCAAUGCUGCCAUCAUUCGAGAGGUUGCUGUUAGGGCAAUGCAGUGAAAUGGUACCUGGGAAGGUGUCUGAUUUAUCAUCACUUUCAUCCUUAUGCAUGAAAGGUAUUUUAAAUCUGUCUUCGCUACCUGGUGGAUUCUUCCAACACCUAACAGCCCUUCAACAAUUAGAAAUUACAUAUUGUCUUGCUCUUGAGUCCUUUCCAGACAUAAGGUUACCUAGCACACUUCAGGAGCUAUCGAUUUAAAUUGUGGGAAGCUGAAUUCCUUGCCUAAGGGACUGCAUGAACUCACAAAUCUCCAACAAUUAAAAAUUAGAGGUUGUCUUAUUGUCAAGUCCUUUCCAGACAUGGGGUUACCCAUCACACUUCGGACACUUCGAUUUCAAAUAGUGGGAAGCUGAAUUUCUUGCCCAAGGGACUGCACAAACUCACAAAACUCCAACAAUUAGAAAUUGGAGAUUGUCUUGCUCUUGAGUCCUUUCCAGACAUGGGAUUACCCAGCACACUUCGGGACCUAUGGAUUUUAAAUUGUGGGAAGCUGAAUUCCUUGCCCAAGGGACUGCACAAACUCACAAAUCUCCAACAAUUGAACAAUUUGGGAUGCUCUUUUCUUAUGGAGUGCAAUAACCCCUGUAUACCUUGGGCCUUCAUAAUCUCACCUCUCUUUCAGAUCUCACUGUUGGUGGAUGUCCUGCUCUCAUGUCCAUUCCAAAGGGCCUGCUUCCGAACAAUCUUAGGAAAUUUUAGAUCUAUGGCUGCCUGAUUCUUGAAUCCUUACAUGAUGGACUCUCUAACCUAACCUCUCUUGAAGGUUUGGAGAUUGUAAAUUGUCUAAUGCUAAACCAAUUGUACCAAAAGAAGGAAGGAGAACUGUGGUCCAAGAUUGCCCAUAUCCCUACCAUAAUGAUAGAUUUGCAACGUCAAUAAAUCCUAACCGCCAACUAUGGGCAUUCCCUUUCACAACAAAACCCAAUGAUGGAAUACUACAGAGUACUGACGGAUAUGUCUAUAAUGCAGUAACACAGUAAAAGCAUAGAUGCAAUGCAACCAAUUGAAUGAGGUGAAUGACAAGAUGUGAAGAGCAUGACUGAAUGAUGGAACAGAUAUCAGGGGCAGAUUAUUAUUACUGAGAGAAAUCGCUUCUCUUUGAAAAUGCUCAAGAAUCCAAACAACGUGAUAAAGCAGUUGCGUGCGACAUUUCAACUAAUUAGCAUUCUGUAGCAUUGAAUCUAUAGGUUAUCACUUAUCAGCCGCCAGUUAGUUUCUGCCAACACUAAGGCUUCAAUUGGUCAUAAUAAAUGAUGAAAGUUAUACAAUGGAGGAAUCUGUUCUAUAAGUCAUUCUUACACUAGUGGGUAGGUUUAAUUGUUCUCUCUCUAUUCCAAAUCUUUGCAGAAUUAUUGGAAAGCAAAAAUUGUGGUGUUGAUUAAUUCUAUUCUCACUUGAGUCUCACUUACACAGGCGGAUCUGUCUUGUUUUCGCCAACUUUCUCUUGCUUGACUGUAUUAUGCAAGUAAGGCAGACGUUUUGUGCUUAAUACAUUUAUGCAUUUUAACCUCCUUAAAUUUACCAUGCUAGUAGUAACCCUCCUAAAUUUGUGGACUCCUACCUAAAUUGUUCCUCUGUAAUCUUAACUCAUGGUCCCUUUCCUCUUUAUCUGAUAGACAUGCUGGGAAACUCUCUGUGGGUACAAUCUUUUUCUUCAUAAGUUAAAUAACCUCCUUUCCAUUUUAGACUUAAAUGUAAUAUUGAUUGUGGCAUUAUAGGCAGCUAUGACUUGUUUUGUUUUGUUCAGUAAAAGUAAGAGAUACGAGGAGGAGGGGUUUAUUUUCUAUACUCCCUCUCUCCUCUCUCAAGGACACAUGCAUAUAUAGAUCCCCCACCCCAAUUUGACUUCUAGAGAUUGUUGCUUUGGAGUCUAUUGGAGUUUUAAUAAAUAUAAGUUGGUCUAAGCUAAAAGCUACUCAAGUUGUGCAAAAGCUUCACAUAAGCCAUGGAUUGUAUUUGAUGAGUCUACAGCCAGGAUUUGAUCCCAAGACUAGAGUAAACCUUGUAAACACCUCCUUUCACUUGGAAAUUAAUGUCAAUUCUAUGACACAUCUUUAUUCAAGCAGACUUUCUAAAAUGAAAAGCUAUUACUUGUUCACUGUUGGCUAUGUAUUUCUUUACACAUGCAUGAUCAAGAGUAUACACUUGCUAUUAUAUUAUGAAUUGAUGGGAAAAUAAGUCUGAACUUCACAAACAUCAAUAAACAUAUAUGACUUCUUAUCUACAUGCUUGAGCCCUUUAAGUUUUGAAUUGAGAAGUACUAUUAGACAAUGAGGACUAGCUUCAAUGUCUUACCAGGAAAAAAAGAAAAAGCUUCAAGAUAGAGGCCUAAUGCCUAAAAUUUAUCUUUGCAGCCCUCAAUCUGCCUCAAAAUUCUCAAGGCAAGAACACUCAACUUAGCUGGGAUUUUUUGACAUUUGAACUAGAACCGGAAGAUUGUGGGACUUGUGUCAAUGUCCUACUCUGAAAUUGGACCUCAAAUGUGAUCACAUCUUCAUCAAUGGCAACCAUGGUGAAGUUUGGAUUGGUGAUCUCGGAUUGGUGACGGUUCUAAGAGACAAGAGCUCAGAUUUUGAUUUGAUAAAUAUAUAUAUAUAUAUAUAUUCCUUUGGGAUGUGUAUGCUAGAGAUGGUGACUUUUGGGUUGCCUUACACUGAAUGUAAGAACCCAGCUCAGAUGUACAAGAAGGUUAUGGGUGGAAUAAGGCCAGAAGGGUUAGGAAGGAUCUUGAAGUGAGGAGGUUCAUUGAGAAGUGUUUUCUUCCAGCAGAGGAAAGGUUGUCUGCCAAGGAGUUCUUGAAGAACCCUUUUCUGCAAACUCAGGAUGGUCUGUGUGAUUACUCUGUCAGUUGUUACACUUCAAACCCAUAUGUGAAUAACUUCAUUUGUAUACAAGCAAUGUGAAUUGUUACAGUUCCUUCAAAUAUUUGUUUCUUUAAUUUUUUGGCAACCAUGUCAAAUUAACAUGGAUUAAGUACAUUGUGCAUUGCUUUCUU